AAAAGGCUGGGUAUGCGUGGCCCGACUUCAGUUUCCCUAAGCCUGCUUCCAUCUGUCCGUUUGUGAAUUAUUCAACCAACACAGAGCAGCGCUGUUUGGGGGUGGAUCUUUAUAAAGGCAGGAUCUGAAAUCGACUAAGAGAAUGCAGCUGUGAGAGCAUGUCCAGAAAGGGUUAACUCACAGAGAGGAUUUCCUCCCAGGUAGGGGGCCUGGGCAUUGCCUGCCUGCCUGCAUUCACUUCUCACCAUGAGAGUAUAUGUUGGAAUUAUCUGCUGCUGCCACCAUCUUCCC
rnacentral:lncRNA from 1 species